GAUGAACGCUGGCGGCGUGCCUAAUACAUGCAAGUCGAACGGACGGACGAGAAGCUUGCUUCUCUGAUGUUAGCGGCGGCCGGGUGAGUAACACGUGGAUAACCUCCCUAUCAGACUGGGGUGACUUCGGGAAACCGGAGCUAAUAACGGAUAAUAUUCUGAGCCGCAUGGUUCAAAAGUGAAAGACGGUCUUGCUGUCACUUAUAGAUGGGUCCGCGCUGCAUUAGCUAGUUGGUAAGGUAACGGCUUACCAAGGCAACGAUGCAUAGCCGACCUGAGAGGGUGAUCGGCCACACUGGAACUGAGACACGGCCCAGACUCCUACGGGAGGCAGCAGUAGGGAAUCUUCCGCAAUGGGCGAAAGCCUGACGGAGCAACGCCGCGUGAGUGAUGAAGGUCUUCUGAUCGUAAAGCUCUGUUAUUAGUGAAGAACAUAUGUGUAAUUAACUGUGGACAUCUUGACGGUACCUAAACAGAAAGCACCGGCUAACUACGUG
rnacentral:rRNA from 1 species